UACGUAGGGGGCAAGCGUUGUCCGGAUUUAUUGGGCGUAAAGAGCGUGUAGGCGGCUUUACAGGUCCGUUGUGAAAACUCGAGGCUCAACCUCGAGACGCCGGUGGAAACCGUAAAGCUAGAGUCCGGAAGAGGAGAGUGGAAUUCCUGGUGUAGCGGUGAAAUGCGCAGAUAUCAGGAGGAACACCCGUGGCGAAAGCGGCUCUCUGGGACGGUACUGACGCUGAGACGUGAAAGCGUGGGGAGCAAACAGG
rnacentral:rRNA from 1 species